rnacentral:tRNA from 1 species
GCUCGAGUGGUGGAAUCGGUAGACACGCCGGACUUAAAAUCCUGUGCUCUUUUGGGCGUGCGGGUUCAAGUCCCGCCUCGAGUA